rnacentral:lncRNA from 1 species
UUCUUUCAGACUUUGAGAUUUGGACUCGGUGAAACUGAUGUCGUUCAGUUGUUCUUGACAAAGAUCAAGGGAUCGACAUAAGUUUGGCUAAGUUCUUUGUCCCCGUUUGGUUUCGAGGUUCGAUUUGGUGAGUCCUUUUCCCUCUCCGGUUUCCUUUCUGUCAUCCUCAUCUGUCCUUUUCUUAAAACUAGUUUUCUUAUAAUAAUUUGGUUGAAAAUUCAAUUCAUCUUCUGAGUCCAAUUUGUUAUUCCGUUCGUUAUUUUCCCUUUUCUCUCUUUUUCUUCGUGAAUUCCGUUUUGUGACAUUUUUAGUUGUUAAGCAUGUUAAGUUUCUGGUUUGUUAAAUCACUUAAUUAGGUCUUAAUUUAGUCGAUUUCCUGUUAAUUAGCUCAUUCAUCUUUGUCUUUGCUUGAUUGCAUUUUAAGGAAGGGGUUCUAGGUUUCUUAUAGGGAAUCCUUGAUGGAUUUUAAUUGGAAUCCAAAAAUCAGAAUAGCCCAAGAAGGAUUUGAAUUGGGUCUAGUUCAGACCCAUUCACUUGGGUCAUUUGGACCCGGGUUCUGCUAGGCUGGGAGGGUAAAUAAUUAGGGUUCGAGGGGUAGUCUAGGGGAUUUGCCUAAGGAAUCUUGAGUGUAACUGAAUAGGAAGCUUCCAGAAAGCUGGGGGUAGGGAUUAAAGUGAAUUUCUGGAAAUUAAGCUAGGGACACUUAAGCAAAAAAACAAAAUUCAAAAGGGGGCAAAGUGCAAAGAAUGACACCUUUCAACAGCCUAAUGCCUUGCCUAUAAAGGCAUCGUUACUUGAUAUUCAAGUCAGAUUUUGAAGACAAAAAUUCCUAAAAAAAGCUGAAACAGCUGAAUUCUUUUAAAAAGUUCCGAAAUUCCUAUAUUCCAUUGUGGAGGAACUAUCAAAAUCCUGCCUGUUUGGAUUUCUGAUUUCUCUUUAUUAGCUAAAGUACUUAAAGUUUGCCCUAGCUACACUUCUGGUUGAGAAAUGGCUUGAGCUUUUGGUUUGAAGCUGGUUUUGCAUUUGUUAUUCCCCUACUGUUCCAUCGUUUGUUCUUGAAUUGAUUCCACUGUUUCAUUGACUGAAUCUGGGCUCUUUUUCUGCUGUUGCUCUGCUGAUUCUGCACUGCUCUUGUUUCCCUUUUUGCCAGGUACACGUUCUUGAAUCUUGUACAAUGUGGUGCACAAGUUGAGGAAUGAAAUGGAAAUGGAAAUUUUGAAGCAUAACAUUAAGUUUCUUGUCUCUGAAAUGUUGGUACUGUUUUUCUUGGAAAUCAUCAGAUGUUAUAGAUUAGUUUUGAUUUUCCCUUCGUCAUGUUUACUCUUUGUUGUUUAGCCUUAAGUCUGCUUUGUAAUAUUGGGCGAACCAUGGACUUUAGCCAUUUAAUGAAUUUUAAUUCGUGUUAAGGGUUCUUUAAGGCUAUAGUUGCAGAAGUUUCAUGUCAAUUUAUUAUGUAUUUUAGACCCUAUUUAGUUUUGGCUGAGAUUUGCG